rnacentral:lncRNA from 1 species
AGCGUGAGUCAGCUGGGCAGGGCUGCCUGCAACACUUCCUCAGCUCAUCCCAAACACCCCACUAUGGAGGGAACUGAACUGCUGAGGCAGGAAUCCCAGUUUGAUGGCAGCACUCCCAUGGUAAGAUCUGGUCUGCAGAGAAGAAUCAUCCCAGAACUCUUUAUCAAAGCCAUGUGGAAGAGAGUAUCCUCUGGACCACCCUGAGAUGGUAAGCAGAUCUUACAUGAUAAAUCCACUCUAGCAUUCCAAUAUUCAUAAGCCUUUGAAUUCCUUGUUCUUCUGUGUAUGAAGAUGAUUUGGGUAUUUUCAUGUUAUUUAGUUUGGGCUGCAUUUAGAUCUAUGUAUAAGUCAAGCAGCCAAGCAAGGGGUUAGAGCAAUUUCUAGCUGCUCUCAAGCUAAGCCAUCAUAUUUGGAAUUUUUACUAAGUGGGCUCAUAUAAUUA